CUGGGCACAUCCACCAUGGCCUUGACUCCUCUUUCACUCCUUGUCCUCACUCUCUGCACAGGCUCUGUGACCUCCAGUGAGCUGACUCAGCCUCCCUCAGUGUCAGUUGCCCUGGGUCAGACCGCUACAAUCACCUGCACGGGAGUGGAAAUAGAAUAUGUUUUUGUCUACUGGUACCAGCAGAAGCCAGGCCAAGCCCCUCUGACAGUCAUUUAUGAUGAUAGUGAUCGGCCUUCAGGGAUCCCAGAGCAAUUCUCUGGCUCCAAGUCAGGGAACACGGCCACCCUGACCAUUAGCAGGACACAGGCCGAGGACGAGGCUGACUAUUACUGUCAGUCCUAUGACAGCAGUGGUAAUUAUGUGUUCGGCGGAGGGACCCAGCUGACCGUCCUAGGUCAGCCCCCAUCGGCACCCUCGGUCACACUCUUCCCGCCCUCCUCUGAGGAACUCGCCGCCAACAAGGCCACCCUGGUGUGCCUCAUCAGUGACUUCUACCCCAGCGGCGUGACGGUGGCCUGGAAGGCAGACGGCAGCCCCGUCACCCAGGGCGUGGAGACCACCAAGCCCUCCAAACAGAGCAACAACAAGUACGCGGCCAGCAGCUACCUGAGCCUGUCGCCUGACAAGUGGAAAACUCACAGCAGCUUCAGCUGCCUGGUCACGCACGAGGGCAAAACCGUGGAGAAGAAGGUGGUCCCCUCACAGUGCUCUUAGGUCCCCGACACCCUCCCCCACCCAGCGGGGCCUGGAGCCACAGGACCUCCAGGACGAUCUUCCCGCCCCGCAGGGUCAUCCCAGCCCUUCUCCCCGCACCCCGUCAACACUCAAUAAAGUGUCCUUUAUUCAAUCAGAAA